ACGUGACACAGCAGAAAUUUUUCAACAAUCAUUAAUUCACAAAUAAUCAUUAAGCUUAUUUUUUAGGUAGAACACUAAUGAGCUGUUUUGAUUGUUACUACUGAUAAAGUAAUGAGCUCUAACAAAAAGUUGAAGACGCUAUUUACAUAUACACAGUUAUUUAUAUGUAAAUCAACUUAAUUUUUAUCAAAUGAGACCAAAUCCACAUCUUAAAUUAUGUCUCCUCACCUUUAGACAUGCCCUAGCGAGUUGAUGGCUAUUCCCACUGAUAUUGAUGCUUUUGUCGUUAGACUUGAGGUAUUACAAACAACUGCAUUCGUUCAUUGCACUAGAAAAAAAAUCCUUGAAUCAGAGGAUCAAAAUUAGUUACAUGAGGGGAGGCCCCAAACUGACCAAAAUGGUGACUCACUAAUAAAGGUUUUAGAACUUCAAAUCAUAUACAUAUUACAAGUGCAUGCCAAGUGAUCUCUUGACCUUCAUGGAGAGUGUGAAAGAAAAAAACCAUCCAACAUCCAAAAAUAUCCAUGAAUAGACAAUGUGGCCAGUAAAACAAGUCAAUUUGUGAGAAAACUGAGUGAUUUCUAGCGUAAAACAACUGCCAUUUGAAUCUGUAGUCCCUCCUUGUAAGCUCGCUGUACAAAUUAUUUUACCCUGCAGUACUAGUAGUCAUCAAUCAAGUAGCAAUUUGUAGCUAACUGCGAUUAUUUUAUAGAUGUUUUUAUUGUGAACAAUUCAUCAGUUGCAUGUUGGCAAAGUGGCACAUUAAGAUUUGAGCCAGGUAUUCUGAGGUUGGCGGUUCGAAUCUUGGUGUGGAACUUUUUUCCCCUCCAAGCUACAAUGUACAUAUACUAAUGGAUGGUUUGCAUUUAUACAAGUACAUGUAUUGGGAAAUAAAAAUGUUCAAGUCAUAAAUUUAAAGUAAUGUAAGUGUAAACGAAAAUGAGACGGUAUGGAAAUUUGAAAUAAUAAGUGGAAGAAAAUCACUUAAUCUCAAGUGUCAAAUCCUUGCAUAUGAUUUUCGGUAAUGUUUUGGUUAUAAGCCGCUGUUAAAGCAGUAAAUGGAUUGAAUUAUACACUCACCUCUGUUGUAUAAUAGAAAGAAAAAUAGACCUGAAGGAUUUGAGUGAUAAUAAUUCUGACAUGUUAAUUAGUAUUUAAUACAACAUUUUUGUUUAGACUUCUGUUGAUUCCUUGGUUAUCGAGUAUCAUGAAGGUCUGUCUUUUCUCAAUUGUCACACUUAAAAGCUGUAGAAUUUCUACUAACAGCAGUAUAUGGUUUUCACAUACACUUUCUGUAUCUGUGUAACAUGUCUACUGAAUGAACUGACUUUAAAAAGCUGCUGCUAAAUUUUGCUCACUAAUAAAUGUGGAUACAUGCAAUGUACAUUAGUUGUUUUAUCUAGUGCAAUUGUGAAAUAGUUAUUCACUUUUUACUAACUAGUCAUUUAUUGUCAUUUUUUAGAGUGUUUAUCUCUGUCACCAUUUGCUUGGUGAUGUUUUGGGCACAUUUUACUUUUACAUCGACCUUUGCCUGGUUCGUCUUAUUCAACACUGGUGGUGAGUACAGCUGUGUGUUUUUGAUUACCAUUACAUGACUGUGUCAUGCCGUCAUGGUGCGAAGCGAGCCAUAUGGACACUUUGCUGAUCAGCACACUGUGAGGUUGAUUGUGGAUGAUGACUGCACCAACAUUUACACAUUAAAGAUUGCAAAUUCGCUGCUGGGCUUCAAGUAUGCUGGUGAAAUUAAAGGGACAGUGUCAUGGGCUGUGCAUGUGCAAGAUUGUUUUUCCAUAUUGGCUUAAAAUUGCUCUUGAGAGGGGAUAUUUAACCUUACUGGGUUCUUUAAGAGCUAAGAGAAAGUGGAUUUCUCAAAACUAAAUUGUUUUGCGGUCAGUUUGCAUUGAAUAAUCUUUGACCUGUGCUGUGUUUCUGGCCCCGUGAAGUUGCAAGGUGAUCAAGAUAACUUCAUAAUUCACCAGUGUAUGCUAAUUGUUUUGCGUGAAUAAUUUUUUUCUCUGGCGUAUAUCGACGGAUUUCCAAGUUAAAUACUGUUACUAACAGCUAUGUUAAUGCAGAUUCUACAGCACAUAACGAUUUAAUGGUCAUGAUGCGAAAAUAGCUUGUAUCCUGCCGUAUUUCACUCUAGCUACAUGUACUGUUGAAUUGCAACACGAUCCACUCAUCUUUCAAAUCACAGUACUAACCAUCUCAUGCAAAUAAUUUUUUUUUCUAAGUUUUAUACACCAUAUCAAAGCUAACUGAAUGCAGAUUCCAGGGUAUGUAACAAUUGAAAGGUCAAGAUAUGUUUAAUAACCUAAAAAUCAUGCCAUUUUUCACUUUAGUUCCUAUUGAAUUGCAACAUGAGCAUCUAUCUUUCAACUUCACAAUGCUAACCAUGUCAUGAAGAUUUGGGGGGACUUUUAUUUUGCAGAUUAGCAAUUUUCUGAGGUUUGUGUGAACAAAUUUUUGCAGCUCAAAUUGACAUUAUUUUGACUACACAUAUAGGGUAGUUGUUAGUUGUUAGAAAUCCACAUUCCCAUGCCUAUGAAAAGGUUAAUCCUUUUAUUUUGUAAAAUUGUGAUAAUUACAAAGUUAUCUGAUGCUUGAAUUUCUUUGUUCUAGAUGUAGAUUGAAACUUAGGUACGUGUAAAUAUUAAUUUCUACUGACAUGUACAAUUACAGGGUUUUUAUGUUGUUAGAUUUUCUCUGCACAAUAUAAAAUUUGGCUAUUGAUUUGUGUUUAGAACUGAUAUUGAGUUUUUUAAUUUAACAUUUUUUGGUUAUGUUUGUACUGCUGUUUGCAGUGAGUUUCUUGAGCAUUGUUUCAUUAUGAAGAUUUUUAAUAAGCCACCCUAUUAAAUUGUACUUGAUGUGGUUUAAUAUGAAAUUUAUUGUUCAAGAGUUUUAGUGCCCUCUAGUUUAGCAUAAUCAGUGUKGCACAUAUAUUCUUGGUAAUGGUAAAUUUCAGAUUUACAAUCAAACGUGUAUGAAUUGCUCACAUUUUAAUUUCAAACCAAUUUUUGUUGAUUUGAUUGAUGUUUUUUUUUUCUCCUUCUCAGCAGUAUUCAAAACACCCCAGUGGGUAUAGUUAUACUUUUAAAGAGUGAAUGUUAUGAGCAGCUAGCCUGAACUCAUUAAUUUUAACACAAGAUGAGAUGAUGAAAGUGGUAUUGACCAGGUUCCUCAUUACACAAAGCAGUUCACAUACAUGAAGAUGCUGGACAAUCAAUCUACUGACAGGCUCUUCAACGUGAUUGACAAGUACUUUCUGGAAACUAAUGAUGUGAGAAACAUUCAUUUCAAAGCCAAAGCUUAAACAAAUCCAAUUAAACCUAAGGAUAUUUUCUUGCUGUUCUUUCAAGAACUUGGAUGUGUCUCAUGCAAGUAUUCAGAAUUGGUGGAAUGGCAACCUGUUGAAAAUGUACACUGGAAAGGAAUGGAUAUUAUGAGAGAAAAACAAAGUGAUUGGCAAGAAUACUCUUGGGAUUACUUUGUCAUAUGGCUUUUGUCCUAUGAUUCUCGAGAGUUGAGAUGCACAUUGUUGGACUGCCUUCAUCCAUUCAAAGACAUUACACAUUGAUUUUGAUUUGUGUUUGUGUCGUAACCUUUUGAUUUGGAAUGUUAUACUCACAUCAUUAGGUUUCUUGGUUUUAGGGUGAAUUGGGUAUUACGGCAGUGUUUUCACUAAGACUGUUUCCACCAUACAGUACUUGAAGCAACUAUUUAUUAGGUUUCUGCCUCAGUUUCAUCAAGUGUUCUGUUGGGAAUAGGUUGCUAUAAUGUAAAUCAGUUUUCAAAUAUUGUCUCUCUAGGGGAAAGGUUUUUUGGAUCC